UUGAGCGUGCAAUGAGAGAGAGUGGAGUCGACUUGUGACGAGCGCCAGAAUUUGUCAAUUUUCCAAAAUAUCACAUGAACUGGGAAUUCGCAAUGAUAUGUAAACAUUUGUAAGUGCGCAAAACCAAAAAAUUUCGAAUUUCGUUCAAUAAGUGAAGUGAAGAUAACACGCAAAAUGUUGAGUGAAGAAUAAUUAUAGAUGCCAUUAAAUAUUGUGUAAAAAAAAAAUAAUAAAAAACAAACAGCAAACGUCAAACGUCAAG